rnacentral:rRNA from 1 species
UACGAAGGGGGCUAGCGUUGCUCGGAGUCACUGGGCGUAAAGGGUGCGUAGGCGGGUCUUUAAGUCAGGGGUGAAAUCCUGGAGCUCAACUCCAGAACUGCCUUUGAUACUGAAGAUCUUGAGUUCGGGAGAGGUGAGUGGAACUGCGAGUGUAGAGGUGAAGUUCGUAGAUAUUCGCAAGAACACCAGUGGCGAAGGCGGCUCACUGGCCCGAUACUGACGCUGAGGCACGAAAGCGUGGGGAGCAAACAGG